GACCCGUGGCACAGUGGUAGUGCGACUGCCUGCGACGCAGAAGGUUUCGGGUUCGAUUCCCGCGGGGUUA